CAGCCGCCGCGGUAAUACGUAGGGCGCGAGCGUUAUCCGGAAUUAUUGGGCGUAAAGAGCUCGUAGGCGGUUUGUCGCGUCUGCCGUGAAAGUCCGGGGCUCAACCCCGGAUCUGCGGUGGGUACGGGCAGACUAGAGUGAUGUAGGGGAGACUGGAAUUCCUGGUGUAGCGGUGAAAUGCGCAGAUAUCAGGAGGAACACCGAUGGCGAAGGCAGGUCUCUGGGCAUUAACUGACGCUGAGGAGCGAAAGCAUGGGGAGCGAACAGGAUUAGAUACCCCGUAGUCCCUGUCUCUUAUACC
rnacentral:rRNA from 1 species